rnacentral:tRNA from 1 species
GUGGUCAUAGCCAAGCGGUUAGGCGUUGGAUUGCAAAUCCAAAAAAAGACCAGUUCGACUCUGGUUGACCACU